rnacentral:lncRNA from 1 species
CUCUGUUGAUCCAUUCCAACCAGAUGAUUGGCCUCCGCCAGAAGCACCAGAUUGAUUCCAGGUCAUAGCAUCACCUCCAGCCAUCCCUGCUUCUCCUGAGCCUGCUCCUUUUGUCCCCCAGCCACCACCUUGAGCACUGGAACCAGGUCCUUUGUUCCAGCCACCACCUUGAGCACUGCAACCAGGUCCUUUGUUCCAGCCACCCCCUUGAUCUUCUGAGCCUUUAAUUUCUUUGCUUGAUUGACUCCAGCCCUCAUCGGAAGGAUUUGAUGACUUCCAGCUGUUUCCUUGACCCCAGGCAGCGUCGCUGUUUGCACCAGAAGGUCCUUUGUUC